UACGGGGGGGGCAAGCGUUGUUCGGAAUUACUGGGCGUAAAGGGCUCGCAGGCGGCCGACUAAGUCAGACGUGAAAUCCCUUGGCUUAACCAAGGAAUGGCGUCUGAUACUGGACGGCUUGAAUCCGGGAGAGGGAUGUGGAAUUCCAGGUGUAGCGGUGAAAUGCGUAGAUAUCUGGAGGAACACCGGUGGCGAAGGCGGCAUCCUGGACCGGUAUUGACGCUGAGAUGCGAAAGCGUGGGGAGCAAACAGG
rnacentral:rRNA from 1 species